GGAGAGUGGUGUGCUGAGAUAGAGGGGUACAGGAGAGUGGUGUGCUGAGAUAGAGGGGUACAGGAGAGUGGUGUGCUGAGCGGUGUGCUGAGAUAGAGGGGUACAGGAGAGUGGUGUGCUGAGUGGUGUGCUGAGAUAGAGGGGUACAGGAGAGUGGUGUGCUGAGAUAGAGGGGUACAGGAGAGUGGUGUGCUGAGGUAGAGGGGUACAGGA